UACGUAGGGUGCGAGCGUUGUCCGGAAUUAUUGGGCGUAAAGAGCUUGUAGGCGGUUUGUCGCGUCUGCUGUGAAAAUCCGGGGCUCAACCCCGGACUUGCAGUGGGUACGGGGCAGACUGGAGUGUGGUAGGGGAGACUGGAAUUCCUGGUGUAGCGGUGAAAUGUGCAGAUAUCAGGAGGAACACCGGUGGCGAAGGCGGGUCUCUGGGCCGAUACUGACGUGAGGAGCGAAAAGCGUGGGGGAGCGAACAGG
rnacentral:rRNA from 1 species